CCCAUGCCCCACAUGGAACGGCUGAGCCCGGGCUCGUGCUGUGCAGCACCCACAGACAUCACAGCGAGCAGCGACCACUUUCCAGAAACAGGCCGUUUGUUAGCACGUGCUCGCUCAAAAGUAAACAGCUCGUUAAGCCCCAUUUCCUUUAUUGUUUCACGUAGCACCUAUGGAGAAUCACAAUGAAAGUUAUCCUUCCGGAAGCCGCGGUGUAAACGCUUUGCACGCACAGGAAUUCAAAUAACGCAAUCACCGCCGCAUCUUAUGAGGCUCUGCAGCACGUCCUGCAACACCACCUUCCCCUCCUCAGAUGCUGCAGCGCUGUUGCAGUCACUGUCCGGCAAACACAACGUGGAACAAGAAGCAAAACCACCCGGGCUUACAGCGCGAACCUACACUACAACAUACAAUCGUGUCUGUGACACAUGGGCUCAGGUUCCCGACUGUGAGGCACGCGGAAAAUGGAGAAUUCUUUUCUGCAAUCGCCAAAAAAAGGUUCUGUUCCCCGAUUUUCACAAGUCCGGCUCCUGACGAUAUGUGCGUGUAUCUAUUUGUCGUUAUGCGGGCACACCCGCGAGCCGCGCUCCGGGCACGGCAGUGAGGAGAGCUCUGAAGAGAAACGGCCACGCGCGGCUCCUUUGUCUGCCGGGCCGGGCUCUCGGCCGUGCCUGCAGGGGGGCGGAGGCCUAUUUUUAGACGCCCUCAGGAGGCCUCUCCGCUGAGAGCUCCCGCGCUCCGCGAGGUUGUCAC
ensembl:lncRNA